GAUGAACGCUGGCGGCGUGCCUAAUACAUGCAAGUCGAGCGAACGGACGAGAAGCUUGCUUCUCUGAUGUUAGCGGCGGACGGGUGAGUAACACGUGGAUAACCUACCUAUAAGACUGGGAUAACUUCGGGAAACCGGAGCUAAUACCGGAUAAUAUUUUGAACCGCAUGGUUCAAAAGUGAAAGACGGUCUUGCUGUCACUUAUAGAUGGAUCCGCGCUGCAUUAGCUAGUUGGUAAGGUAACGGCUUACCAAGGCAACGAUGCAUAGCCGACCUGAGAGGGUGAUGCGCCACCCUGGAACUGAGGCACGGUCCCGACUCCUACGGGAGGCAGCAGUAGGGAAUCUUACGCAAAGGGCGAAAGCCUGACGGAGCAACGCCGCGUGAGUGAUGAAGGUCUUCGGAUCGUAAAACUCUGUUAUUAGGGAAGAACAUAUGUGUAAGUAACUGUGCACAUCUUGACGGUACCUAAUCAGAAAGCCACGGCUAACUACGUG
rnacentral:rRNA from 1 species